AGAGUUUGAUCCUGGCUCAGGAUGAACGCUAGCGGGAGGCCUAACACAUGCAAGCCGAGCGGUAGAGAUUCUUCGGAAUCUUGAGAGCGGCGUACGGGUGCGGAACACGUGUGCAACCUGCCUUUAUCAGGGGGAUAGCCUUUCGAAAGGAAGAUUAAUACCCCAUAAUAUAAUUGAUGGCAUCAUUGAUUAUUGAAAACUCCGGUGGAUAGAGAUGGGCACGCGCAAGAUUAGAUAGUUGGUAGGGUAACGGCCUACCAAGUCAGUGAUCUUUAGGGGGCCUGAGAGGGUGAUCCCCCACACUGGUACUGAGACACGGACCAGACUCCUACGGGAGGCAGCAGUGAGGAAUAUUGGACAAUGGGUUAGCGCCUGAUCCAGCCAUCCCGCGUGAAGGACGACGGCCCUAUGGGUUGUAAACUUCUUUUGUAUAGGGAUAAACCUACUCUCGUGAGAGUAGCUGAAGGUACUAUACGAAUAAGCACCGGCUAACUCCGUGCCAGCAGCCGCGGUAAUACGGAGGGUGCAAGCGUUAUCCGGAUUUAUUGGGUUUAAAGGGUCCGUAGGCGGAUCUGUAAGUCAGUGGUGAAAUCUCAUAGCUUAACUAUGAAACUGCCAUUGAUACUGCAGGUCUUGAGUAAGGUAGAAGUAGCUGGAAUAAGUAGUGUAGCGGUGAAAUGCAUAGAUAUUACUUAGAACACCAAUUGCGAAGGCAGGUUACUAUGUCUUAACUGACGCUGAUGGACGAAAGCGUGGGGAGCGAACAGGAUUAGAUACCCUGGUAGUCCACGCCGUAAACGAUGCUAACUCGUUUUUGGGUUUUCGGAUUCAGAGACUAAGCGAAAGUGAUAAGUUAGCCACCUGGGGAGUACGUUCGCAAGAAUGAAACUCAAAGGAAUUGACGGGGGCCCGCACAAGCGGUGGAUUAUGUGGUUUAAUUCGAUGAUACGCGAGGAACCUUACCAAGACUUAAAUGGGAAAUGACAGAUUUAGAAAUAGAUCCUUCUUCGGACAUUUUUCAAGGUGCUGCAUGGUUGUCGUCAGCUCGUGCCGUGAGGUGUUAGGUUAAGUCCUGCAACGAGCGCAACCCCUGUCACUAGUUGCCAUCAUUCAGUUGGGGACUCUAGUGAGACUGCCUACGCAAGUAGAGAGGAAGGUGGGGAUGACGUCAAAUCAUCACGGCCCUUACGUCUUGGGCCACACACGUAAUACAAUGGCCGGUACAGAGGGCAGCUACACAGCGAUGUGAUGCAAAUCUCGAAAGCCGGUCUCAGUUCGGAUUGGAGUCUGCAACUCGACUCUAUGAAGCUGGAAUCGCUAGUAAUCGCGCAUCAGCCAUGGCGCGGUGAAUACGUUCCCGGGCCUUGUACACACCGCCCGUCAAGCCAUGGAAGUCUGGGGUACCUGAAGUCGGUGACCGUAACAGGAGCUGCCUAGGGUAAAACAGGUAACUAGGGCUAAGUCGUAACAAGGUAGCCGUACCGGAAGGUGCGGCUG
rnacentral:rRNA from 1 species